rnacentral:lncRNA from 1 species
GGAAAAAGGUUCCGGCCUCAGCCGGCGCACCUGGCGGAGGAGGAACCUCGCGACGCGCUCUCGGGCAUCGGUUUCUCCCAGCAAAGCUUGGAGGGUUUAGCUGCGCGGAGAGCUCAGCGAGCUCUUCUGUGUCUGUUUGGGGCGUGUGGGCUCCGGGAGCGUGAGGACCGGGAAGCUAGGAGGCUCCUUCCCUUCUGGCGGCUCCCUCACUGAGACCGGGCGGUUUGGUUGCGGGGGAAGUGGAGACGAGCCACCCUUGACCUUUGACUGCAAGAACUCACCUUGAGCAGGAUAGAGCAAACAUUGAGUGGGCCAGACACUGUUCUGAAAAAUACGCAGUCGACUUUUGAACAGCACAGGCUUGAACUGCAUGCGGCCACUAAUACUCGGACUUCCUUCUGCCUCUGCCAUCCCUAAGACAGCAAGACCCACCCCUCCUGCUCCUCAGCCUACUCGAUGUGAUGAUGACAUUACUGACUUCUCCUGUUAGCUCUGUCGUGCUUACAUCAUGAUGCCCAUUUUUCAGGUAAAGAAAUAGUGGCUCAAACAAG